rnacentral:tRNA from 1 species
GGGCGCGUAGCUCAGCUGGUUAGAGCGCCACCAUGACACGGUGGAGGUCCCGGGUUCGAGUCCCGUCGCGCCCACCA